AGCGAACGCUGGCGGCAGGCUUAACACAUGCAAGUCGAGCGGGCCUUUCGGGGUCAGCGGCGGACGGGUGAGUAACGCGUGGGAACGUGCCCUCUGGUUCGGAAUAACUCAGGGAAACUUGAGCUAAUACCGGAUACGCCCUUUUGGGGAAAGGCUUGCUGCCGGAGGAUCGGCCCGCGUCUGAUUAGCUAGUUGGUGAGGUAACGGCUCACCAAGGCGACGAUCAGUAGCUGGUCUGAGAGGAUGAUCAGCCACACUGGGACUGAGACACGGCCCAGACUCCUACGGGAGGCAGCAGUGGGGAAUAUUGGACAAUGGGCGCAAGCCUGAUCCAGCCAUGCCGCGUGAGUGAUGAAGGCCUUAGGGUUGUAAAGCUCUUUUAUCCGGGACGAUAAUGACGGUACCGGAGGAAUAAGCCCCGGCUAACUUCGUA
rnacentral:rRNA from 1 species